AUGUUUUCACCAUUCAUCCAUGUCACACCAUGGAGUUACUUAAUUUUAACAAUCCCUUUUCAAUCAUUUCUUUAAUGAAAUUCAUACCAAACACAUGAAUACACUAUUUCCAUCAUUACUGAUCAUAAAAGUUCUAGGUCUGAUUUUUUUUUCUGUAUAAAAAUGAGAAUUUAUAAAAUAACACAUAAUUGGAAAGUACAGGAUAAGGAAGAAUAUGCAUAUAGUUUUUUUUAUCCCUCAAAGGAUAGCUGUAUUUUAUGAGAUAAUUAGGAGCAACAAAUACCAUUCCUGAAAAUAUAGGGAUUGAGUCAAAAAUUAUUUUUCUAACAAAUACUUUAAGGUCGUAUUUUUUCUAUGUAUGUUGUAUAGGUACCCUUUGACUGAAACAAUGUCAAAUCUGUAUUUUGUCUCUCUUUCUGCUAAUAUUUUAUUUUCAUUUAAACAACUUUCCCACCACAUCAUAUUCCCACCAGCAAGAAUGACUCAAAAUAGCUUUCCCAGUUAAGGGUAGGAAAAAAAAAAACCACAGAGUGAGGACAGAAUGUCUGCUGAGUGACCAGCCAUUGGAGUCCAGCGCGUGAAAGGGAAGAAUGUGCUAGCAAAAGUGGCACUACAUAAAUGAUUACCAGUGAAAAAAAGGUCACACUUCGUGUGGCCUCUGUUAUUCUAAUGUGGUGCACUUGAGUGUAAAAAUAAUGGGCUGUGUCAGCCUUACUAAUUAUCUGCAUUAUUUUCUAGAAAAGCAGGAUCAUGAAAUGCCUCCAAACCACCUGACGUAAUGGGGUGAUCCCAGGGGCUACCUCAGCUGCAGUUAGGGGUGUAGUACUGAGCGGACUCGCAUGAUAGCAAUACUGGCAACAAGACGAUAGAAUCAGCCAUGUUCCUGUAGUGGAUUUCUUUAGCCUAGUGGUCAAAUUUCCAAGUUAAUAAAACUAUGUUUUGAUGCCUGGGGCACUUUCCUGUCUCAGGCUGACCUUGUUUGUCCAUUAUAGCUUAAAUAUACUGCAUUUAAGUUAAUGGGGGAAGCCAAUUAGUCUGUUCUAACGGCUUGCAUGCGGUUCUUUGGUGCAUUCUUUAAUUUGGCCCUUAGAAAGCAAGAACACAGGCUAGCCCAUAAUAGUGCUCCAAUGCUGGGAGCUAUCAAUGCCUUCAUAUCUGCAAAUUUACUUAUGGGACAUUUUGAGUGGAAAAUGUUUGUGACUGAGAAACUAUGCAGGAAGACCUGGCUGCUAGUGACAUUGCUUCUCUCCUUCAAGCAAGCAGGUGCAUCUGGGUGUGUGUUUGUGUGUGUGUGUGUGUGGUCAUAUUUACAUUUAGACUGUGAGCUGUUGAAGGGCAAAGAACGUGUCUCUUUCUUAGUAACUGUCCUGAAUCUGGAAACAGUGUUCUUACCAAAUGACUCUGUACUACACAUGUAUGAGGGAGUGGAUGUUCUAGUGAAAAGCACGUGAAGUUUGGGACUUAAAGACUGGAUUUUAUUCCCUUCCUUGUUUCUUGCUAGUUUUGUGACCUUGGAGAGAUAUGUAUAGGAUACACACCCACCAUCUUUUUAGGGACGUGCCACAUUAAACUGAAAACACUUCAAAAUGGUUUGUUAGCAUUUUCUUCCUGUAUAGUGAUCAACUUUUAGUCAAAUUAUUUCUUAAGAUUAUUACAUGGAUAUGCUUGUUAUUUCUGUUUUGUGAAAGAAAUGCCUCCUGAUAUUAAAAAUCAUUUUGCUAAAUAUCUCAAUCUCAUUCCUUGCCAGGGUCCUCUACACUGUAUCAAUAUAGAGCUAUCUGCAGUUCCUUCCCUGAACAUACUCUACUAUUUUGUGCCUCUGUGUCUUUGCAUAUGCCAGAUCCUCAAGCGGAAUGUAUACACCUUUAAGACAGUUCAAGAAUCAUCUGAUUUGAUCAAUUCUUCUACCGCAGUUAGGUUGCUCAUUCCCCCUCAUUACAGUGUGGGAACAUUGGUUGUUUAGUGGUAGAAUUCUUGCCUUCCAUGUAGGAUCCUUGGGUUGGAUUCCCUGCCAAUGCACCUCAUGUGCAGACACCACUCAUCUGGCUUAUGUGUUGUUGAUUCUUUCCUCAAGGUGCUUGUAACAUGUAACUUCAAUGCCUUGCAUGGGAUGAAUAUAACGGCUUCUGUACAAAAUAUUUAAAGCAAUAUUUUCUCUCUCUCAAAAAUGUAGUCUUCUAGGGGAGGUCAGCACAACUGGACUAAACCAAAAGCAAAGAUGUUUCCUGAAUACAACCAAAUGCUUUGAAGGCCAGAGUAGCAGAAAGAGGGGUCUGGGGGCCAUGGUUUCAGGGGACAUCUAGGUCAACUGACAUAAUAAAAUCUAUUAAGAAAACAUUCUGCAUCCCACUUUGGUGAGUGGUGUCUGGGGUCUUAAACGCUAGCAAGCAGCCAUCUAAGAUGCAUCAAUUGGUCUCAACCCACCUGGAGAAAACGAGAAUGAAUAACAAUUCAUAUUUACACAAGGUAAAUAUGAGCCCAAGAGACAGAAAGGGCCACAUAAGGCAGAAACUAUCAGCCUGAGACCAGAAGAACUAGAUGGUGCCCGGCUACCACCGAUGACUGCCCUGACAGGGAACACAACAAAGAAUCCCUGAUGGAGCAGGAGAAAAGUGGGAUGCAGAUUUCAAAUUCUCGUUAAAAGACCAGGCUUAAUGGUCUGACUGAGACUAAAGGGGCCCUGGAGGUCAUGGUCUCUGGACCGUCUGUUAGCCCAAGACUGGAACCAUUCCUGAAGCCAACUCUUCAAACAGGGAUUGGACUGGACUACAAGACAGAAAAUGAUACUGGUGAGGAGUGAGCUUCUUGGUUCAUGUGAGAAGACAUAUAAGACUAUGUGGGCAGCUCCUGUCUGGAGACAAGAUGAGAAGGCAGAGGGAACAGGAGCUGGUUGAAUGGACACAGGGAAUACAAGUUUCAGGGUUCAGAGGAUGACCUGAACCUAGUGUAUGCUGCAUCAGGGUGCCUGACCUGCCACUCCACAGGGAACUACCUCCAUAGCCACUGCUGCCUGCAGCCUUCUCUUUCCCCUGUGCCCAAAGCUGCUGUCAGAUGUCAGGGGGAUGAGACUUCACAAGGCUACAUAUAGGAUUUCAUUUUAUAUGGAUUCACAGUCAACGCCCAUGGAAACAGCAGUCAAGAAAUCAAAAGACACAUUGCAUUGGGCAAAUCUCCUACAAAAGACCUCUCUGAAGUGCUAAAAAACAAAGAUGUCACCUUGAGGACUAAGGGGCGCCUGACCCAAGCCAUGGUGUUUUCAAUCCCCUCAUAUGCAUGCGGACACUGGACGAUGAAUAAGAAAGACCAAAGAAUUGAUGCCUUUGACUUAUGGUCUUGGCAAAGAAUACUGAAUAUACCAUGGACUGCCAAAAGAACGAACAAAUCAGUCUUGGAAGAAGUGCAGUCAGAACGUUCCUUAGAAGCAAGGAUGGCAAGACUACGUCUCACAUACUUUGAACAUAUUGCAGGAGGGAUCAGUCCCUGGAGAAGGUAGAGGGUCAGCGAAGAGGAGGAAGACCCUCAAUGAGAUGGAUUGACACUGGCGCAACAAUGGACUCAAGCAUAACAAUGACUGUAAGGAUGGCGGAGUACUGGGCAGUGUUUCAUUUUGUUGUACAUGGGGUGGCUAUGAUUCAAUGGUCCUAACAACAACAUGUAUAUAUGUCUAUAUAUGUAUAUAUAUAUAUAUGUCUCUCUAUAGACAUUAUAUCUAUAUAUCUAUAUCUACAGCCCUGAGCAGAAGGAGGAAAACCAAAGCCAGGAUGCUAGAUUUACAGAUAAAUGGGAUGAUUGAAGGUGUCUCUAUAUUGAGGCCUCAAGAUUAGGUAAUUAUUUAUUCUGUAAUUUAUAGCAGAAUGAUAGCUAUGGUUGGUAUGAUAGAUGUAGGUCACUGGUUUUGAUAUUGUCCUUGUAAUUAAUUAGUUAACAAGUUUCUAAUUCACUAAGUUAAUUACUGAAAUAAAUUUAUGCUAAAGAACAGAAAGAAGACUGGUUCAAAUAAAUUCAUAUUGGUCCAGGAAAAAAAAAUGAGACCUUUACUAAUCCUUCAAAGUAGAUGCACUCAACUACUUUGUGUGAUAAAAACAAAAUUAGCUAGUUGGGAUUUCCUUUUUGUUUGUUUACAAUAGUCUGUAUACAUUGAUGUUCCAUAAACUAUUGACCUAGUUCAUGAUAAAUAUAUGCAGAUGAUUUAGAUUUUUGUGCAAUAAAAGCAUUUUUUCUUGCAUAGAGUAAACCAAAAAAACCAAACCCAUUUCCAUCAAGUUGAUUCCGACUCAUAGCAAACCUAUAACACAGAGUAAAACCACCCCAUAGGGUUUCCAAAGAGAGGCUAGUGAAUUUGAACUGCUGACCUUUUGAUUUGCAGCUGAGCUCUUAAUCACUGUGCCACGAGUGGUUUAAAAAAAAAAAAGUGAUUAAAAAGAAUUAGAUUGUUAAAAUCACUAUUACAUUUUCAGUAUUUAGCCUUUUGAUUUCCUUUCACCUUUAAAAAAGAAUUAAAAUGAAUAUUUUAAGACAAUAAGUGCUUAAAGAUUAUAGUUUGCUGAAAUGAUUUAAAAUUGAUUUGUUCUGGCCAUUUUCUUUGUCAAGAAAAUCUGAAAUGCAAGGAGACCUCUUAGAUGGUGACUUCUGUGUCUUAACACUGGAGAGUCUGGGCUUUAGGACCAAAAUGACUGGCUUCUAAUGCUGGUUCUGUCACUUACAACUCUGUGAGUUCAGCCUACUUACUUAUCCUCUGUGUGCUUCAAUUUCCCCAUUUCUAAAAUGGGAAUGGUAAUAGUAAGCACCUCAUAAAAGAUUAAAAGCUAUUAUAUGUGCAAAGUGUUUAGAACUUGAUGGGGACUCAUUGGGGCACAUGAUACACUCUCUUUACAUGUUGGGUCCUCCUUGAUUCACUCCCCAGUGUUCCCUAGUGUCCCCAGGAUCUCUGGCUCUGCCCUCCUCCUCCUCUGCCUUCCUUGCUAUUCUAUGAUUGUUCUGGUUGGUACUUACAUUUUGUAUUGGAAUUUGUUUAAAAAGUGUCUCUGUCACUUAAUAGCUGGAUGAUCUUGAGAGUAUUCCUUAAUGUCUUACUGUAAUUUUCCUCAUUUGUAAUAACCUGUUUCCUUAUGAGGAUCAAAUGGUAUAUUAAAUGUGAAGAUAAUUUAAAACCUGCAGAGUAUAGCAUAUUAUUAGAAAUUAUAACUUAAAGUGUGAGCUCUGGGAAAACGAACAUUAUGUCCUUGUUUGUUUCUUUUUUGAGCAAAAGUUUUUUUCACUUGAAGAGUCUUUAUUUUUGGAAAGUUAGAAAAUACAGAAAAGCAGAAAGAAAAAAAACUAGUUCUUUCACUCAAAAAUAAUUAUUGUUAACAUUUUGAUGCACUUAGUAGUUCUUCUAUGCAUUUUAUUAUACUAUUAAAAUCACACUGUAGAAAUAUAAUUUGAUAUUGAUCAUGUCUUCCUUUAAGUUUUGCAUAUUGCUUGCAUACCAAUAUUAAAAUGCAAUUCAAUUCAUUAUUUUUUUAAGUCAUUAUUGUCAAUCUCUGUAUAUACAUAUGAGAAAUCCAACCCAAAACCAAACCCGCUGCAGUCCGGUCGAUUCAAAACACAAAGGAUGCACAACUACUUUAUUUGUGCCACAAUGUGUAUUUUUCCUGUUUGAUUUGUGUGCUUUCUUUGCCUUGCAGUGUAAUAUAUGCACAGCCUUUGUCUUGCACUUUAGGGUGCUGAACAGAUUUACUCUUAGAUUCUAAAAACUGUCAUUACAACAGCUAUCAUUAGCUUUAAAAUCUUAUCCCCAAAUCAGGUACCAUAUAUUUAGUUUCAUUAAAAGCAAUCAAUAUAUUCUUCUCUUAGGUAUGUUAUUUGCCUCUAAACCUUAAUUGUACCAAAAUUAGAGAGAAAGUUUGUUCCAAGAAUUUGAGGUUGAGGAGAAGAGUUCACAAAACUCUCAACUUUGACAAUGUAGAAGUUUGAAACCCUCAUGGACUAUCAUAAUCGGAACCUGUCAGGAAAGCUAAUUUAUAGAGUGAUGUUGAUUUUGAAACUGCAAAUGAUCAUAAUGGAUAUAUAUACACAUAUAUUGAAAUAAUUUUGGAUGAAAGCAUAGUUUGUCUUUCAAAAGUCAUAGCAUUUACAGUUCUUUGAGGAUGAUUCCUUUUUUUUAAAUUAAUAACAAAUGUAUUUUAAUAGAAACAAAGUAUAGCAAAUAUAUUUUAAAUAACAUACAGUAAAAAAUUUUAAAUAUUUUAAACAAAAUUCUUAUACAGAUACUUUUAUUUUUGUUAAUCAAGGCAGUGUGUGUUGCAGACUCUUUGGGGAAGUAUAAUUAAGUAAUUUAUUCCUCACUCAUUGAUUUAGGAAAUACAUGAAAUCUCUGAUUUAAGUACAGAAAAAUCUAUUUAGCAUUUAUGAAUGUGCAUAUGUAUAUGAUAGUGCUUUUGUCAUGUAAGCCUUGGAAAUUAUUCCUACAUCAAAUAACUUUAUUUUUUAACCAUCUAAAAAGCACCCAUUUUUACCUCUUCACUGUUGAUCAUAUAAAAAGUUAAGAUUAAUAGCAACAAUAACAUAAACUUCAGCUUAUUCAGUCUACUCAAUUAUGUUUUUGAUGGGAAAAGUGUGCAAAAUAUAGUAUCUUAUAAUUUUUUCUGUACUGAAGAAAUCAAUGAAAAUUUCCUGAGGUACCAAAAUAGCUAUGUAUCUAUAGAUACAUUUAUUUAUCUCUAGUCACUAUUAUUCCUAGGUUUCUUAAUCCAAAAUUACAUCUAAAACCACCCAUUUUUCAUGAUCUCACCACCUAUUGAUUAAGUAGUCCACAAAUCCUUUCUCAUAAUGUGUUUAUCUGAAUAUUUAAACCAAAAACUAGAUACCAUAAGAAGGAUCCAACACUCAUUGAUUAAACUUUCAGGAUCUAAGCCAAAUAAACAUUUGUAGUACUUCUUUAAAGUGCUAUCUGGCUUAUAGAUCCAUCUCUAUUUUUUUUUACCAUGCCUCCAGUACUCAUAUGCAUCGCCUCAUAUGCAUUGCAAAAGUUGAACAAUGACUAAGGAACACUGAAGAAGAAUUGAUGCCUUUGAAUUACGGUGUUGGCAAAGAAUACUGAAUACACCCUGGACUGCCAGAAGAGUGAACAAAUCUAUCUUGGAAGAAGUACAGCUAGAAUGCUCCUUAGAAGAAAGGAUGGUGAGACUACAACUCACAUACUUUGGACAUGUUAUUAGGAAGGACCAGUCCCUGGAAAAGGACGUCAUGCUUGUUGAAGUAGAGGGUCAGUGAAAGAGAGGAAAACCCUCGAUGAGAUGGAUUAACAUAGUGGCUGCAACAAUGGGCUCAAACAUAACAAUUAUAAGGAUGGCGCAGGAUGGGACAGUGUUUUGGCCUGUUGUACAUAGGGCUGCUAUGAGUUGUAACUGAUUCAAGGGCACCUGACAACAGCCACCAGGGUUAAGGCACAUUUAAAAAAACACUUACUAUUCACUAUUUCCCAGAUUUGCCGGACUAUGUGACACAUCCAUUGCUUUGCAAAUGCCAUUUCUUCUGUUAGGAAUGCUCAUUCCCUCUUUUCUCUCUAGUCAUAUUUAUUUAUCUUCCAAAUUCAAAUGCUCAAAUGGUAUCUUUCUAUGGCAACUUUCUAUAUAUUUGUCCUCAAACCCAAACUUUGAUGGAAGUAUUUAUUUAUACUUCUGGGUUUUUGGAGCUAUUCCAUUGCAAAGGAUUACUUUUCACAUUUGUCUAAGAGAUCUCCUUUCUAAACAACCUUCAUUAUUAUAAUUCCAUCAUCAUUAUCACCACUAUCUAGCUUCCAUCUUUAGACGCAUUAAAUGCUGUGCACUGAGUUUAGUGCUUUAUGAGAAAUCUCAUUUAAUGCUCACAUGAAGCUACAUUUUUGUUAUUAUUAUUACUGGUGUUGGUAUUUUUAUUUUAGAGUUAAGCCAAUUAAACAAAUAAAAAUCAUACAAUUGUCAUCUGGAGUGUCAUACAAAAUCACUAAAUUAUAGAGUUGUACUUCUGUCCAAGUCUGUCUGGUUUCAAAGCCAGUGAGAUUAAUAAUUAUGCUAUGUAGUUGCUUCAGGAUUUAGUCAUCUUUGUAAAGUUUUACCUAGCACAGUUCAUGUCACAUAGAAGAUUCUUAGUAAAUCUUUGAAAAAUAAUGCUUAAUGAUCUAACACAUAGAUAAAGUUGGUGUGACAUAAUCAAAUACCUGGCCAAUAAAAUCUGGUAUUAUCUAUUCUUGGUCAUUUUGGUCAUUUUGAAGUAGGCUCAAGUUAUCAUAAGUGAAAGUUUUUGUUAAAUAACAUAGACAUAGCUUUGUUGUUGUUGUUGUCUGACUCUGUCAGGUUGAUUCUGAUUCAUGGCUACCAUGUGUGUGCAGAGUAGAACUGCAGUUCAUUGGGCUUUCAAGGCUGUGACCUUUCAGAAGCAGAUUGUCAGGUCUCAUCUCACAACACCUCUAGGUGGGCUCGAACAGCCAGUAUCUCAGCUAGUAGUCCAGUGCUCAACAACUGUGGCACCCAGGGAGUCCUAGACAUAGCUUAUGGUCUAUAAAUUCAGAAAGAUAAAAUGUGUAUAAAGAUGGAUUAAGAGAUAGCUGGAUAGAUAAUAGAUUAUGAAAGAUGGAUAGAAAGCCCAAGUGAUAUUUGGAUUAGGACACCUUACACAUUUUUUUUUAACCAUCACAAAGGGUAGACUAUGACUGACAUUUAGAAAUACAGAAAGAAUAUUUUUAAAAAAGUAUUUUAAUUACACAUUAACUUUCAAAUGAUACUUUAGAAUGCACUAUAAUCAAUAUUUAUAGCCUUAAAAUUAUAUUCUCCAAAUGAUUUUUUUUACUCAAACAACAUUUUUUAGGUAGCUUAACACUUAGCUCAUACGCCUUCAGAUUUAGAAUUCAAAAAACAUUCCUAGUUAAUAGCUAUAAAAAGAGCAGAUUUUUGGCUUAAAGUUGGAUGCACACUCUCCAUGGGAAGUUACUGAAAUAGGUAGAUAUUCUUUUCAGCUAAUUAGUUUCUGGAAGCUAUAUCCUCAUUUAUCAUCUGACAGACUCAGAAAACAUUACAUGCCAUUGUGGUCUGGAGACUCAGUAUUACACCUUUAAAAAAUGUCUUUUCACAGAAAUUUCCUGGCACUGGCAAUUUGUGCAGAGUCAAGCAACAUGACCGUUUAUGGGUUAAAGAAGCAUACUUGAAUUUUUUUGUGUAUUGUGUUUACAUGUUUUAUUAUAUUUAGCAUUGUUAUUAAAAUACUAAUGUCUGUGUUAGCAUAUUCACAUUAACAGAAAGGACAUUUAAAAUGUUAAUUAUUUUCUAAUUAAUUCAAAGUAAGGUAUUGGAAAUAUUUAAUCAUUUGUUUGAGGGAAAUAUAGCAACUAUUUAAUAUUCACUUCACAAAAAGAAAGUUUCCCUUAUUUCUUACAGUCAUGACUGACACAACUAAAAGCAAACUGUACUGAUAUCCUAUGAUUCUAAGUUAAGGGCACCACAAAACCCUUUUCCCUAAGUAUAUCUGCUUUGAGACUACCUAGCUCAUAAUUUCUACCAUUCUAAAAACUUUCUGCUGGAUUCAGUUAUAUCAUUGUGAAAAGAGAAAUCUGCCCUAGAUAUCUUGGUGUUCCUUCACACACUGGCCUCCUGAGCUACAGAAAUUGUUAUCUAUGAUGAUAGAGACUGUUUGCUUUAAAUUUUUCCCAGAAACACUUGCUCUUCCCAUGUUAUGGGUACUGGACCUACAAACAUGUUUCCGUCACGAUAAAGCACUUAGCUCCAAUAGACCCUGGGUGGUGUAAACGGGUAAUGCACUCAACUACUAACUGAAAGGUUGAAAGUUUGAAUCUACCUGGAUGUGUCUCAAAAGAAAGGCCUGGUGAUCUACCCCCCCCCAAAAAAAAAAUCAGCCAUUGAAAACCCCAUAGAGCACAGUUCUAUUCUUACACACGUGGUGUUACCAUGAGUUGGACUUACCUGACAGCAAUUGCUUUUGUUUGUUUUUUUUUUCAUUCAAAAAUUUAUACACAGAUUGUUUUGUGACACUGAUUACAAUUCCCACAAUGUGUCAGUACCCUCCACCUUUCCCUUUACACUCUGGGUUUCCCGUGUCUGUUGGUCUGGGUUACCUGUCCUUUCCUGCCUUCUCCUCUUUGCUUUCGGGCAGGUGUUGGCCAUUUGGUAUAUUUGAACUGGAAAGCACGUUCCUCUUGUGUGUUAUUGUUUGUUUUAUAGGCCUAUCUAAUCUAUGGCUGAAAGGUGGACUUUUGGAAUGGCUUCAGUUCUGAGUUAGCAGGGUGUCCAGGGCCCAUAGUCUCAGUGAUUCCUCCAGUCUCUGUCAAACCAGUAGGUCUGGUCUUUUUUUGUAAAUUUGAAUUUUGUUCUACAUUUUUCUCUAAUUCUGUUUGGGACUCUCUAUUGGGAUCCCUGUCAGAGCAGUUGUUGGUGGUAGCUGGGCAUGGUCUAGUUUUUCUGGGUUCAGGCUGGUGGAGGUUGUAGUUCAUGUGUUCAUUAGUCCUUUGGACUAAUAUUUUCUUUAUGUCUUUGGCUUUCUUCAUUCCCCUUUGCUCCAAACGUAAUGGGACCAACAGAUGUACUUUAGAUAGCAACUCUCCAGCUUUUAAGAUUCCAGACAGUACCCACCAAAGUAAGAUGUAGAACAUUUUCUUUGUGAACUACAUUGUGCCAACUGACCUAGAUGUCUCCUGAGACUGUGGCCCCAGCCCUCAGCUGCAUUACCUCAGUCUCUUAAGGUGUUUGAAUGUGUCUAGGAAGCUUCCACUACUUUGCCUUGGUCAAGUUGUGCUACCUUCCCCUAUAUUGUGUGUUGUCUUUCCGUUCUCCAAAGUUAACACUUGUCUUCUGUCCAGUUAGUGAUUUCUCCUUCCCCACCCUUCCCCUCCAUUGUAACCAUCAAAGAUUGUUUUAUUCUGUGUGGAAACCUUUUCUUGAGUUUUUAUAAUAGUGGUCUUAUACAAUACUUGUCCUUUUGUAAUUGACUUAUUGCACUCAGCAUAAUGCCAUCCAGAUUCAUCCACGUUGUGAGUUGUUUCGAAGGUCCAUCAUUGUUCUUUAUCAUUGUGUAGUAGUUCAUUGCAUGUAUGUACCGUAGUUCGUUUAUCUAUUUAUCUGUUGAUGGGCACUUAGAUCAUUUUCAUCUUUUUGCUAUUGUAAAUAAUGUUUCAGUAAACAUGGGUGUGCAGGUCUAUUCAUGUGAUGGCUUAUUUCUCUAGGGUAUAUCCCUAGGAGUACGAUUUCUGGAUCCUGUGGUAUUUCUAUUUCUAGAUUUUUAAGGAGGUGCUGUAUCAUUUUCCAUAGUGGUUGUCCAUUUUACAUUCCCACCAGCAUGACAGUUCCCAUCUCCCCGCAACCUUUCCAACAUUCGUUAUUUUCUGUUUUUUUUUUAACACCUAUGAUUAUUUAUUUAUUUUUAAAUUAACUUUUAUUAAGCUUCAAGUGAAUGUUUACAAAUCCAAUCAGUCUCUCACAUAUAAGUUUACAUACAUCUUACUCCGUACUCCCACCUGCUCUCCCCCUAUUGAGUCAGCCCUUUCAGUCUCUCCUUUCGUGACAAUUUUGCCAGCUUCCCUCUCUCUCUAUCCUCCCAUCCCCACUCCAGACAAGAGCUACCAACCCACUCUCAAGUGUCCACCUGAUAUAAUUAGCUCACUCUUCAUCAGCAUCUCUCUCCCACCCGCUGACCAGUCCCUUUCAUGUCUGAUGAGUUGUCUUCGGGGAUGGUUCCUGUCCUGUGCUGACAGAGGGUCUGGGGAGCAUGGUCGCCGGGAUUCCUCUAGUCUCAGUCAGACCAUUAAGUAUGGUCUUUUUAUGAGAAUUUGGGA